AACGAACGCUAGCGGGAUGCCUCAAACAUGCAAGUCGAACGCGAAAGUCCCUUCGGGGGCAAGUAGAGUGGCGCACGGGUGCGUAACACGUAGCUAACGUACCCCCUUGCUGGGGAUAACCCCGGGAAACCGGGGCUAAUACCGAAUAGUCUGAACACCUCUGCGGGGGAGUUCGGUAAAGCCUUCGGGCGCGAGGGGAGCGGGCUGCGGCCCAUUAGCUUGAUGGUGGGGUAACGGCCUACCAUGGCGACGAUGGGUAGCUGGUCUGAGAGGAUGAUCAGUCACACUGGAACUGAAACACGGUCCAGACUCCCACGGGAGGCAGCAGUUGGGAAUAUUGGACAAUGGGGGAAACCCUGAUCCAGCAAUCCCGCGUGAGUGAUGAAGGCCUUCGGGUCGUAAAGCUCUUUCAGCAGGGAAGAAGGGUAACUUGACGGUACCUGCAGAAGAAGCACCGGCUAACUCCGUGCCAGCCGCCGCCGUAACAC
rnacentral:rRNA from 1 species